rnacentral:rRNA from 1 species
CCCUUAGAUGUUCUGGGCCGCACGCGUGCUACACUGAGUGGAUCAGCGGGUCAGGUUGCGCGAAAGCGUUUCCUAAUCUUUAAAUCCGCUCGUGAUGGGGAUUGACGGUUGCAAUUUUCUGUCAUGAACGAGGAAUACCUUGUAAGCGCGGGUCAUCAUCCCGCGCUGAAUACGUCCCUGCCCUUUGUACACACCGUCCGUCGCUCCUACCGAUUGAGUGGUCCGGUGAGGCUUUGGGAUCUGAGCGGAAAGAGCGUUUCGCUGUUUCUGCUCGGAAAACUCAGUCGAACCUUAUCAUUUAGAGGAAGGAGAAGUCGUAACA